UACGGAGGAUCCAAGCGUUUAUCCGGAAUCAUUGGGUUUAAAGGGUCCGUAGGCGGUUUGGUAAGCCAGUGGUGAAAGCCCAUCGCUCAACGGUGGAACGGCCAUUGAUACUGCCAGACUUGAAUUAUUAGGAAGUAACUAGAAUAUGUAGUGUAGCGGUGAAAUGCUUAGAGAUUACAUGGAAUACCAAUUGCGAAGGCAGGUUACUACUAAUGGAUUGACGCUGAUGGACGAAAGCGUGGGUAGCGAACAGG
rnacentral:rRNA from 1 species